UUCUUCUUUUUUUAUACUAUGUACGAAAAUUCUACCAGAAAUCUUGUUCCAAUGUAUACGAUGUAAACCUUUUUCUGAAAGAAAAUUUGACUGAGAAGGUAUUUUAGAGUGGUCAUUUUCAGUUUUCCCAAGAGUAUUACCAGAAAAUAAGAAAUCCAAGAAAAACGUAGGAAAAUGGGAAAAUCGAACCAAUAUUAAACAAAUAUUAUUAAAGAAAAUCCAUAAUGACUAUUUAGU